GCGCUCGUGCCGCAACUGGAAGACGGACCGGCCCGAGGAGCCGGGGGUUGAGGGUUCGACUCCCUCCGAGCGCA
rnacentral:tRNA from 1 species